UACGACGGGGGCUAGCGUUGUUCGGAAUUACUGGGCGUAAAGCGCACGUAGGCGGGUUGUUAAGUCAGGGGUGAAAUCCUGGAGCUCAACUCCAGAACUGCCUUUGAUACUGAGGAUCUUGAGUUCGGGAGAGGUGAGUGGAACUGCGAGUGUAGAGGUGAAAUUCGUAGAUAUUCGCAAGAACACCAGUGGCGAAGGCGGCUCACUGGCCCGAUACUGACGCUGAGGCACGAAAGCGUGGGGAGCAAACAGG
rnacentral:rRNA from 1 species